AAGACUCUACUUUCAGGGAUCAUUUCUAUAGUUCCUUACUAGAGAAGUUUCUCUAAUCAUGUAGAGCACCUGAAACCCCAACGAGUAGCCAGAGGGCCAUCUCCGGAGGGUCAAGCCGUGUCUAGGUAUUGCUUUCACAACUUUCUUCUACUGUUAAUGAUCAUUCUCUUCCUUUGGAAGAGUGAGAGAGAGAGGAUGUAGUCUGAGUGCU